GCCCGCAUAGCUCAGUCGGUAGAACAUCAGACUUUUACGAAUAAUGUAGUUGAGAGCUCUGAGGGUCGCGGGUUCGAAUCCCUCUGCGGGCG
rfam:Octopus bimaculoides Scaffold25359_contig_58, whole genome shotgun sequence.